rnacentral:rRNA from 1 species
GACGAACGCUGGCGGCGUGCUUAACACAUGCAAGUCGAACGGAAAGGCCCUGCUUUUGUGGGGUGCUCGAGUGGCGAACGGGUGAGUAACACGUGAGUAACCUGCCCUUGACUUUGGGAUAUCUUCAGGAAACUGGGGCUAAUACCGGAUAGGAGCUCCUGCUGCAUGGUGGGGGUUGGAAAGUUUCGGCGGUUGGGGAUGGACUCGCGGCUUAUCAGCUUGUUGGUGGGGUAGUGGCUUACCAAGGCUUUGACGGGUAGCCGGCCUGAGAGGGUGACCGGCCACAUUGGGACGGAGAUACGGCCCAGACUCCAACGGGAGGCAGCAGUGGGGAAUAUUGCACAAUGGGAGGAAGCCUGAUGCAGCAACGCCGCGUGCGGGAUGACGGCCUUCGGGUUGUAAACCGAUUUCGCCUGUGACGAAGCGUGAGUGACGGUAAUGGGUAAAGAAGCACCGGCUAACUACGUG